rnacentral:rRNA from 1 species
AUUGAACGCUGGCGGCAUGCUUUACACAUGCAAGUCGAACGGUAACAGGGUGCUUGCACCGCUGACGAGUGGCGAACGGGUGAUAAAUGCGUCGGAACGUGCCGAGUAGUGGGGGAUAACGCAGCGAAAGUUGUGCUAAUACCGCAUACGUACUGAGGGAGAAAGUGGGGGACCUUAGGGCCUCACGCUAUUCGAGCGGCCGGCGUCUGAUUAGCGAGUAGGUGAUGUAAAGGCGCACCUAGGCGACGAUCGGUAGCGGGUCUGAGCGGAUGAUCCGCCACACGGGGACUGAGACACGGCCCAGACUCCUACGGGAGGCAGCAGUGGGGAAUUUUGGACAAUGGGCGAAAGCCUGAUCCAGCCAUGCCGCGUGUCUGAAGAAGGCCUUCGGGUUGUAAAGGACUUUUGUCAGGGAGGAAAUCCCUAGUGCUAAUAACACUGGGGGAUGACAGUGCCUGAAGAAUAAGCACCGGCUAACUACGUGCCAGCCGCCGCCGUAA